AAAAGGCAAGAUUCGUUUGUUUUCUCUCUGUUUUGGUUGGAGGGCUAGUGAUAUCUACAGUGGCACAAUUCAGUUUCAUUUCAAUUCUCCCAUUUCCCACGACUGACGUUCAGUAGACCUUAUGAACAUAUUUACCCAGUUUUCAGUACGUUUUAGAUGUAGUUAUGACUAUAUUGCAAGUUAGAACGAGAACUUAAACGAAAACUUGUUUGGUGUUAGCUUACCGAGAUGUUAAUGAUAUUUUGUGCCCGUCAGCUCAAAAUAAGAAGGGAAGUGUAAAACGUUUUUUUCAAAUCAAGAGUUCUUGCUCAAAAUAUUACUUGCCAUGAUGCCCAGAGCCUUCGCUUUUACGGUCAGCGUCACCGGACGAGCGAGGGGUUGGUUGUUUGAACAAAAAAAAAAAAUGAGUUUAUAAAAUAUUAUUAGAGAAAAUGGAAGAGAAAAUAAUCACAAAAUGAUGAAAAGCCGCGCGGGCAAAUAAAAAAUCCAUGCAGAUGUUCUAAAUCACGGGAAAAGUUAGGAAACUUGUGAGAAAAGUCAUAAACGCUUGAAUCACAGCGCAGCUACAAGUUAGAGUUUUCCGUUAUAUGGAAUACAAACUGUAUAUAUGAUAUGAGUUUUAAAACAAACCUUGAAAGAGCGAAAAAUUGCAGAGUAGCUGCAAAAUAAUCUUGUAAAGCAGAUUUAUUUUUUUGUUGGAAUGUUAGUAAUAGUUAUAUUCUUGCUAACCGUACAUAACUUUGCAAUUCAUUUGUAAUCUAUUAAAUAGUGUUAAGGUAUCGUUUUCCAUUUAUUCGGCAAUCAAAGCGCACAGAAAUAAACAGACACUGAACGAAAGUAGACAAAAUCCUGCAGUUGAGGGAUGACCCCUGCCUGGGAGGUAACCAAUGCUUUCGCUUUCGUCACAAACGCUGCUUAGCAAUGCAACGGAUCACUUCCUUACUUUAAUAACCCUGGUUACAUGCUCUUGCCCACAAACUAUUUACCUGCCGGCUACAGUCAGGGGGAGGUUUAGCAUAGAAACGAGGCAAAGGGGUCAUCAGGCAUAGAUACGUUGUUUUUGAUCAGGUUUACGUAUUUAUCACUCAUAAACAGUGGGGUGCUCGAGCCCAGAUAUCCAACGGCCAAGCGGAACAGAGUGAGAUCUGAGCACGAGAUCAGUCACUUGCAAGUGUCAAAAACUUAAUAAAUAGCACAGUUAUCUGUGAAUAUGUAGGCAAGUUUCCAGCUUGUUGUAACAGACAAUUUAUUCCAUAAGUUAAAGGGGUAGUACACAGUAUCUUUUACAACUAUUGGUUACGCUUUGUAAAGGAAAGUGAUGUAUUUUUAAGACGGUGUAGUUAUUUUCCAAGAGACUGGAUCAGCAGUCUGUUAAUGUCCUCCAGCUGUUCUGACACAUUUUGCUUCAAGGGGCGAUAGUCACUCUCCAUGCUUUUAGAAGCAAUAACUGGGGACUGUUAAGGAGUUGUAUA